GCUGGGAUAGCUCAGUUGGCUGGAGCAUGAGACUCUUAAUCUCAGGGUCACGGGUUCGAGUCCCUCCUAGGGCA